GAUUGGUGCUUGCAUCAUGAUUUACAUUUGAGUGAGUGGCGAACUGGUGAGUAACACGUGGGAAACCUGCCCAGAAGCGGGGGAUAACACCUGGAAACAGAUGCUAAUACCGCAUAACAACUUGGACCGCAUGGUCCGAGCUUGAAAGAUGGCUUCGGCUAUCACUUUUGGAUGGUCCCGCGGCGUAUUAGCUAGAUGGUGGGGUAACGGCUCACCAUGGCAAUGAUACGUAGCCGACCUGAGAGGGUAAUCGGCCACAUUGGGACUGAGACACGGCCCAAACUCCUACGGGAGGCAGCAGUAGGGAAUCUUCCACAAUGGACGAAAGUCUGAUGGAGCAACGCCGCGUGAGUGAAGAAGGGUUUCGGCUCGUAAAACUCUGUUGUUAAAGAAGAACAUAUCUGAGAGUAACUGUUCAGGUAUUGACGGUAUUUAACCAGAAAGCCACGGCUAACUACGUGCCAGCAGCCGCGGUAAUACGUAGGUGGCAAGCGUUGUCCGGAUUUAUUGGGCGUAAAGCGAGCGCAGGCGGUUUUUUAAGUCUGAUGUGAAAGCCUUCGGCUCAACCGAAGAAGUGCAUCGGAAACUGGGAAACUUGAGUGCAGAAGAGGACAGUGGAACUCCAGGUGUAGCGGUGAAAUGCGUAGAUAUAUGGAAGAACACCGGUGGCGAAGGCGGCUGUCUGGUCUGUAACUGACGCUGAGGCUCGAAAGUAUGGGUAGCAAACAGGAUUAGAUACCCUGGUAGUCCAUACCGUAAACGAGAAUGCUAAGUGGU
rnacentral:rRNA from 1 species